rnacentral:rRNA from 1 species
GAUGAACGCUGGCGGCGUGCCUAAUACAUGCAAGUCGAGCGAACAGACGAGGAGCUUGCUCCUCUGACGUUAGCGGCGGACGGGUGAGUAACACGUGGAUAACCUACCUAUGAGACUGGGAUAACUUCGGGAAACCGGAGCUAAUACCGGAUAAUAUAUUGAACCGCAUGGUUCAAUAGUUAAAGACGGUUUUGCUGUCACUUAUAGAUGGAUCCGCGCCGGAUUAGCUAGUUGGUAAGGUAAAGGCUUACCAAGUCAACGAUGUGUAGCCGAUCUGAGAGGACGACCAGCCACACUGGGACUGAGACACGGCCCAGACUCCUACGGGAGGCAGCAGUGGGGAAUUUUGGACAAAGGGCGAAAGCCUGAUCCAGCAAUGCCGCGUGCAGGAUGAAGGCCCUCGGGUUGUAAACUGCUUUUGUACGGAACGAAAAGCCUGGGGCUAAUAUACCCGGGUCAUGACGGUACCGUAAGAAUAAGCACCGGCUAACUACGUG